GCACGGGUGCGUAACGCGUGGGAAUCUGCCCUUUGCUUCGGAAUAACAGUUAGAAAUGACUGCUAAUACCGGAUGAUGUCGCAAGACCAAAGAUUUUUUAUUCCCCCCGGCAAGGGAUGAGCCCGCGUAGGAUUAGGUAGUUGGUGGGGUAAAGGCUCACCAAGCCGACGAUCCUUAGCUGGUCUGAGAGGAUGAUCAGCCACACUGGGACUGAGACACGGCCCAGACUCCUACGGGAGGCAGCAGUGGGGAAUAUUGGACAAUGGGCGAAAGCCUGAUCCAGCAAUGCCGCGUGAGUGAUGAAGGCCUUAGGGUUGUAAAGCUCUUUUACCAGGGAUGAUAAUGACAGUACCUGGAGAAUAAGCUCCGGCUAACUCCGCGCCAGCAGCCGCGGUAAUACGGAGGAUCCAAGCGUUAUCCGGAUUUAUUGGGUUUAAAGGGUGCGUAGGUGGCCUGUUAAGUCAGGGGUGAAAGACGGUAGCUUAACUAUCGCAGUGCCCUUGAUACUGAUGGGCUUGAAUGAACUAGAGGUAGGCGGAAUGUGACAAGUAGCGGUGAAAUGCAUAGAUAUGUCACAGAACACCA
rnacentral:rRNA from 1 species